UGGAGCUGCAGGAGGAAGAAGAGGAGGACCAUGAGAACAACAACCAGGAGGUGUUCAGUCUGGAGCUGCAGCGAGGAGAGCGGGGCAUCGGGCUGGCCCUGGUCGACACGUGGGACGCACCGGUGAAAACGAGUGGCCUCUUCAUCAGUGCGGUGCUUCCAGACUCCCCGGCUGCUCGCACUGAGAGGCUGGCCCCUGGAGACAGGAUCCUGGCCGUCAACGGAGUCAGUCUGCUGGGAGUGGACUACCAUGGUGGGAAGGAGCUGAUCCAAACAUCAGGUGAAAGGGUGAGGCUGCUGGUGGCCCGGGCUGAGCGGAGGACCAAAGCUUUGCACACUCAGAACUGAUGUAUGUGGAGAUAGGACAGGCAGC